AGGACGAACGCUGGCGGCGUGCUUAACACAUGCAAGUCGAGCGGAAAGGCCCUUCGGGGUACUCGAGCGGCGAACGGGUGAGUAACACGUGAGUAAUCUGCCCCUAUGCUCUGGGAUAGCUCCGGGAAACCGGGAUUAAUACCAGAUACGACCACUUUAGACAUCUGUUGUGGUGGAAAGAAUUUUGGCUAGGGAUGAGCUCGCGGCCUAUCAGCUUGUUGGUGAGGUAACGGCUCACCAAGGCGACGACGGGUAGCCGGCCUGAGAGGGCGACCGGCCACACUGGGACUGAGACACGGCCCAGACUCCUACGGGAGGCAGCAGUGGGGAAUAUUGCGCAAUGGGCGAAAGCCUGACGCAGCGACGCCGCGUGGGGGAUGAAGGCCUUCGGGUUGUAAACCCUUUCAGCAGGACGAAGCGAAGUGACGGUACCUGCAGAAGAAGCGCCGGCUAACUACGCGCCAGCAGCCGC
rnacentral:rRNA from 1 species